GAGUUUGAUCAUGGCUCAGGACGAACGCUGGCGGCGUGCUUAACACAUGCAAGUCGAGCGAUGAAGCUUCCUUCGGGAAGUGGAUUAGCGGCGGACGGGUGAGUAACACGUGGGCAACCUGCCUCAAAGAGGGGAAUAGCCCUCCGAAAGGAGGAUUAAUACCGCAUAAAGUUAGAGUUUCGCAUGAAACUUUAACCAAAGGAGUAAUCUGCUUUGAGAUGGGCCCGCGUCCCAUUAGCUAGUUGGUAAGGUAAUGGCUUACCAAGGCAACGAUGGGUAGCCGACCUGAGAGGGUGAUCGGCCACAUUGGAACUGAGACACGGUCCAGACUCCUACGGGAGGCAGCAGUGGGGAAUAUUGCGCAAUGGGGGAAACCCUGACGCAGCAACGCCGCGUGGGUGAUGAAGGUUUUCGGAUCGUAAAACCCUGUUUUCUGGGACGAUGAUGACGGUACCAGAUGAGGAAGCCACGGCUAACUACGUGCCAGCAGCCGCGGUAAUAC
rnacentral:rRNA from 1 species